UUUUGGUCCAAAUAAACAUAGUUCGCGACUUUUAGGAGGUGGUAAGCAAUUUUCUCUCAGUUGAAUUAAAAUAUUUUGAUUGGUACAAAUUGUCAUGUUCCAUUCAUUCAAAAUAUUUGUUGCGUUCUUCGUUUUCAUUUUUGUACACUAUAUUUUAUCUUAAUUAGUGACAACCCUGCACAUUUGACGUCCUAGAGUAAGAAUUCUUUAACAUGCACUAGAAUUUCCAUGAAUAAAAUAUAGGCAAACUCAAUGAAUAUUGAUUUUGUAAUUCUUGAUAUAAUCAUGGCAGAGUUACUAUCCUGAGAGGCUCCACAAGGCGUUUCUAGUCCAUGUACCUUAUCUUUUCAUGAAAGUGUGGAAGAUUAUAUACCCAUUCAUCGAUAAGAAGACGAAGAACAGGUUUGUGUUUGUUGAUGACGAGAACCUUGAAGAAGCGCUAUUGGAAGAAAUUGAUGAAAGCCAACUUCCAGAGAUUUAUGGGGGGAAAAUGUCACUUAUUCCUAUUGGAGCUAACUGAGAACUAAUUCGUAUGUAACUUGGGACUCAAGUCAUCACAAGAAGAACUACUGUUUUAUCCUGAAUUUUUGGGUCCAUUUCCUAAUUUGUUCUUCAGUGCGUAAAUUGUAAUGAAAUAAAUGGUCAUAUUUGUAUGUAUUUCUUUGAUAUCCAGCAUUAAGGCAUCAAUUAGAAUAAAGUGGUGAAAACUUGUGCUAAAUUUUA